rfam:Triticum aestivum genome assembly, contig: Triticum_aestivum_CS42_TGACv1_scaffold_641488_T_1DL-0.200696_2DL-0.128977
CUAGUAUUACCUCGGUCGAGAAUUACUUGUCUCAGAUUUUUCUAGAUACGGAUGUAUCUCACACUAAAACGUGUCUAGAUACAUCCGUGUAUAGACAAAUCUAAGACAUGUAAUUCGGGACGGAGGGAGUAUGAU